rnacentral:rRNA from 1 species
AAGAGUUUGAUCAUGGCUCAGAUUGAACGCUGGCGGCAGGCCUAACACAUGCAAGUCGAACGGUAACAGGAAGCAGCUUGCUGCUUCGCUGACGAGUGGCGGACGGGUGAGUAAUGUCUGGGAAACUGCCUGGUGGAGGGGGAUAACUACUGGAAACGGUGGCUAAUACCGCAUAACGUCGCAAGACCAAAGAGGGGGACCUUCGGGCCUCUUGCCAUCAGAUGUGCCCAGAUGGGAUUAGCUUGUUGGUGAGGUAACGGCUCACCAAGGCGACGAUCCCUAGCUGGUCUGAGAGGAUGACCAGCCACACUGGAACUGAGACACGGUCCAGACUCCUACGGGAGGCAGCAGUGGGGAAUAUUGCACAAUGGGCGCAAGCCUGAUGCAGCCAUGCCGCGUGUAUGAAGAAGGCCUUCGGGUUGUAAAGUACUUUCAGCGGGGAGG